UUUCAAUAUUUUCACGAAUGAAGUUGGUCAGAAUGAUUUAUGCGUAAAAUAACGUUAACUCGGUCACUAUAACAACAAAAGAUUUAAUACAGUUAAUAGCUAUUCUUAGCUAAUGUAUUUUUUAGCUUCCCAGGCAACAUUAAUCAAGGUUUUUUAUAUAUACUGGUAAUGUUAGCAUGCAUCUGAUAGUUAAUGUUGGUCUUAUAAAAUGAUAACUUAGAUCACUGAUUGCAUGACGUGUUUGUUUAACAUGGCUUAACAAUUUUAACGGGUUACUGUUCGAACUAAAAUAGCUAAUGAGCUAGCUAACUUUGGCACAGUUAUUUGGUAGCUAAUUGGACACCAUGCCUCUUAACUUUAACUAGCCUAAUUUGCUGCAGAAAAUAGCCUAACGUUAUAUUCAACCAGCACAACUUUGUCUUCUUCAGCCGCCAUUUGUAAUUGCAGUGUAACAGCUAAGUAAUGCAUAGUGCAUGAGAGAAAUGGAUAGGUAACUCUUAGUUGAACCAGCCCUAAAUUAUGAUUUUGAAUAUAUAUUUUCUUUCUUAACAGGGGCAAAAUGCUGUUGCGUGUUCAAUUCGGGGAAGAGCAGAAAUACGUCAAGCUGUCUGGGCUGACAUUCAAUGCUUUCUUGAAAGAAGAAAGCAGGCGGCCAGACAUUAAGGUGUAUGACCAGUCAGACACAGAAGUUGACACGGAAGUUUUUGAAGAAAUAGUGAAGGAGUCACCUGGAACUCUGAGAAUCAUGCUGGGUGAUGGAGGACUAGGUGCCUCUCAAUUUAAUUAUAAUCAUGCUCGGGUACAUCUGAUGACACCGUCAUCCUGAAUUUCACGAUGUGUGACCCUGUUGAAGAAGAAGCCGCUGCCGAAGGAAGCCAGCCUAAAAGGCCAUGCCACAUAAACUACAAGGCAAAAGUGUUGAUUGAAAAAAUCUUAACAUCAAAGCCUGGUGGUGAACGAAUUAUGCAAGAGUAUGGAAAAACCAAAUCCCUGACAGAUGCCACCAGAAGACAGAUGAUUAACAUACUUGCUGCUGAGAUGACAGAAACACAUGGGACAUCCCCCCCCAAAAGUGUCAGAGUGAUGUAUGCACAGGGGAUAGUAGCUUUGUUUCCCUAUCUAGAAGACCCAUACUCACAACAUG